rnacentral:lncRNA from 13 species
UUUCUCCUGUACUGUGAGGGGACGCGCUUCACGGAGACCAAGCACCGUGUCAGCAUGGAGGUGGCCGCCGCCAAGGGGCUGCCUGUCCUCAAGUACCACCUGCUGCCGCGGACGAAGGGCUUCACCACCGCGGUCAAGUGCCUCCGGGGGACAGGUAGGCCCCAGACGCCUGAGCCGGGGCUGCCGCUGCACUCACAGAAAAAAAAAUGAGCACGUUCCAUGUGAAACACAGGGUACCAAAAGAGCAAAGGCAGUCAAGUGCGGGGUUAGCACUGGGAGGCUCCCGCGUCAGGCUUUGAGGUGAUGAAAUAAUGAUUCAUGAGAGACAAUUAAAAUAAUAAAAGUACAUAAUGCAAAACCUUAUGCGGGGAAAUAAUGAUGAUGGUGAUAUCUUGUUACUCCAAAAGGAGUCGAAAUAAAAGAAAGGGACAAAGAACAGAAAGCAGCUGGACAGCAGGGUCACACGCACAGCGUCAGUACAGUACACGCAGCGUCAGCACACACGCACAGCAUACAGUACACACAUUGUCAGCACACACGCACAGUGUACAGUACACAGCAUCAGUACACACAGCAUACAGUACACACAGCAUACGGUACACACAGCAUACGGUACACACAGCAUCAGUACACACAGCAUACGGUACACACAGCAUACGGUACACACAGCAUCAGUACACACAGCAUACGGUACACACAGCAUCAGUACACACAGCAUACGGUACACACAGCAUAUGGUACACACAGCAUCAGUACACACAGCAUACGGUACACACAGCAUACGGUACACACAGCAUCAGUACACACAGCGUCAGCACACACGCACAGUGUACAGUACACAGCAUCAGUACACACAGCAUACAGUACACACAGCGUCAGACACACACACAGCAUACAGUACACACAUUGUCAGCACACACACAGCAUCAGCACACACACACAGUGUACAGUACACAGCAUCAGUACACAGCAUACAGUACUCACAGUGUCAGUACACAGCAUCUAGUACAUACACACAGCGUACAGUACCCAGUGUACAGUACACACAGCAUCAGUACACACAGCGUACAGUACCCAGUGUACACUACACACAGCAUCAGUACACAGCAUACAGUACGCACAGCGUCAGUACACAGCAUAUAGUACAUACACACAGCGUACAGUACCCAGUGUACAGUACACACAGCAUCAGUACACACAGCGUACAGUACACAUGCACAG